AAUUUCACUGUCCUUACUUUUCCCCUCUCCCAUGCCCAAGCCCAGACCUGAAGCUCCCCAACCUCCAAUCAAAAGAAGAUGCCCAAACUGUGCUAUGGCCCCAAGGAAGGGCACCUCUAAUUUCCAGUCUCCACCACUAUGGAGUCAGAAACAGAAGACAUAAGUGAAGGCCAGAGGUGGAAGAACAAAAGACAAAAUGCAUAAAUAACUGGAACAAGCUCCCUAUGAAGAAAGGAAAAUAAAGGAAGGAUAUAGAAUAUGCCCCAAACAGAGAGGGAAAUGUAUUCAUUAUCCUAAGUCCUCAACUACCAAUAGCAGAGUGGCUGUUCUAAGGGGAUCUUGUCUUUGCUUGAGCUGAUGGCAAUUUUCAGUGACCUGUGCUGAUAAGCACUGCUCACAUAAACAUCUGAUGAAAUGAGAUAACGGAUAUAAACCAUUUGUAAUCCAGCAUAGAAGGAUUUGGAGAUGGGGCCUGUCAUCAUAUGCCAGCACUGCCAGUGCAGAGGCACCUGUGAGUGCCCACAAACAACUUGAGACCUGCUUUUCUUAUUCAGAUGUGUUAUACUGAGUAAGGAUAAAAUCAGUUUGUUAUCAAUAACUGGUGAAAGGCCAAAGCUAGCAUCUCCCUUUCUGUUUUCCUGCUUGGUCUCCACAAAAUCCCUACUAUGACACAAUUAUCUUUGAAACAUUUCUUCCCAUCUCAACCACUACUCCUCAGCAUCCCUCAAGACUCCCACCUCAGUCCACUUCUGUUAUGGAAUCUAAUGUCUCCAUCUCCUUCCCUUCCAAGUGGAUUACUUCCUUUACACUGGAACCUCUGCUUUGCUAAGGCAGUACAGAGUUGGAGGACUGACCUUAAAGUCAAGAAGAGCCAGAUUCCCUGGCCAGCUCUAGGCCUAGAAGUUCCAAAUGAGUUACUACUGAUCUGCACUGAUGGAGAUCCAACCAACUACACUAUGGUGUUUUUUGAGGUUCAUCAAUAAAAGGAACACCAAUACGGUUGAAAUUACAGAU